rnacentral:tRNA from 1 species
CCGACUUUAGCUCAGUUGGUAGAGCGGAGGACUGUAGAUCCUUAGGUCACUGGUUCGAAUCCGGUAAGUCGGA